CAAUACUUCCAUCUCUAACUACCUUGAUUAAAUAGAUUGGUCAUUUGUAAACAUGCCUAAAGAAAAUUAUAAAGAAAAAGUUAGAGACGUCUGGCUACAGAGCUCAGAAUUCAAGGAAUGGCUGAGAAAGGACUUGACUGAUUUGACAAGGGCUUAUUAACAAAUGCUUCCAAAGCAAUACUUCAAAUCCAUCGAAAUUGUUAAACGAGCUAAUAUUUGCCAUCAAUUCACUAAAAAUCUACAUAAUAGCUCCAGAUAAAAGUGUAGAUUGUAUAAACGAUGAUGGAUUUGAAAAGUAUGUGACUAGAGACUUGUAUCUUGGAUAUGCUUUUGAAAAACAUAUCAAAUCUGUGAGUAUAUCCAAUGAUGAGGAAAAGUCGAUCCGAGAAAGUUGCACGAAUUUCGUAGUUGAUCUUGUUAAGCAACUAAAGCAGAGGUUACCCGACAAUUUUAAAAUCUUAAAACAAGCCGAUGCUUUUGCAGUAGAAAAUAUUUUAAAAACUAAAAAAAAAACAUCAUUCCGAUUUUGGAGUUUUUUGGAAUUCCCAAUAUUGACGAAAUUGAACGUCAAUACAAUGAAUUGACACUUAUCUCUUGGGAAAAUACUGAGGACACAAUUAAAUUUUGGGUUGAAGUAUUGAAUUACAGAGACUCGGGCGGAAACAACCGGUUUUCUAAGCUGAGUUCUGUUGCGCUUGAAAUACAUUCUUUACCUUGGUCGAACGCCGAAGUGGAAAGGGUUUUUAGCCAAGUUAAUUUAAUAAAAAAUAAAAUAAGAAAUAGGAUGAACGUUGACACGUUAAAUUCAAUAUUAACCAUAAGAUCCGGAUUGAGCCGACACAACAAAUGUUGCUUUGAUUACAAAGUUUCUUCAAUCUGCCUGAAGUCUAUAGAAAAUGUGGAACAAUUAGAUAAUGAGCCCGAACAGUCUGUAGACAAUCUAAUAGCAGGUUUAAUGUCAUUUAAAUGAACUUUAUAAGUUUAAAUUUCUUUU